rnacentral:rRNA from 1 species
AACGAACGCUGGCGGCAUGCCUAACACAUGCAAGUCGAACGAUAAGCCACCUUCGGGUGGUGGACAGUGGCGCACGGGUGAGUAACACGUGGGGACCUGCCUGAUAGUACGGAAAAACAGUUGGAAACGACUGCUAAUACCGUAUACGCCCUUCGGGGAAGGAUUAUCGCUAUCAGAUGGACCCGCGCUAGAUUAGAUAGUUGGUGAGGUAAUGGCUCACCAAGUCGACGAUCUAUAGCUGGUUUGAGAAGAUGAUCAGCCACAUUGGGACUGAGACACGGCCCAGACUCCUACGGGAGGCAGCAGUGGGGAAUAUUGUACAAUGGGCGCAAGCCUGAUACAGCAAUGCCGCGUGAGUGAAGACGGCCUUAGGGUUGUAAAACUCUUUCGCCAGGGAAGAUAAUGACGGUACCUGGUAAAGAAGUCCCGGCUAACUCCGUG